GCAGGCGCGCUCCGCCAAGGUCGGCGAAGGAAGCCGGACUGCGCCUGCGCAGCCGGCGCCCGCGCCCAUGGUGGGAAGGAGAGCUGUGACCUGUUUGGCUGCCUUGAUCCACCACCAUCUUGGAUGUGUGCAAACGCUAAGAGUCCAAGGGAGAGAGAGAAAUUUUGCUGGUGAGAUAUAAAGAGGGCUGGUAAUUGUUUCACUUGGCAGGUAUGAGUUCUACAUUCUCCCCAUUUUUUUAAAAAAGACAUUCUCAUACAGCCCAGACUUUGCUUCGAUGUAGACAGCUAGAAGCCUUGGACACCUGACUCCUGAGUCUUUGGAUUACAGGCCAGUUUAUCAUCAUCAUCGGCAUUAUUUGGGUUGAACGGUUAUUUGAACAUGCUAGGCAUGGACUGUACUACUGAGCUACACCUCCCAUGGGGCUCUUCUACUUCCAAGGGCACGCCCAAAUGUUUUUUUUGUUUUGUUUUGUUUUUUGGUUUUAUUGAGACAGGGUUUCUCUGUAGCUUUGGAGCCUGUCCUUCAAGUAGCUUUUGCAAACCAGGCUGGUCUCAGACUCACAGAGAUCGGCAUGCCUCAGCCUCCCAAGUGCUGGGAUUAAAGGCGUGUGCCACCACCACCCAGCUACACCCAAAUGUUUAAUGACUUUUCCUUUACUCUUACAAUAUUGAACUCUCCUAAAAGAAUUGAAAACAAAUCUUAUUUUUCCGGUAAGAUGAUUAUAUUUGCUCCAAGAUGCAGCUUGAUCAUCAUAGAUAAUUAGCUUCACUUUGGGGUUAUGGUGAUGGUUUGUCCUACAAGGUUCCUGUCGUUUUUGAUUUUGGGCCUUUAUCAUAAAGAUGUUACUUGCUUAGUCGUGUCGCUCCUGGGCUCCAAGGUAUCUGCAAGUUAGGACCAUUUCUGGGGGCCUUCCUUUGCCUUUGUAGGAGGACAUCUUAGAUAAAAUCGUACUAUGAACAGUUCCUUUCGGCGUCUUUUCAGAGAAAGUACUAUUCCUAAAGUGUCACCUUGCAGAAUGUAUGCUGUUAGGAAAGAAAUUGUUGGGUAUAAGAUGCUCAUUUGUAGUAUGAAGCGGGGGCCCCUUUUUGUCCCGGCGCUGCCCCACUAUUCAUUACUGGUAGUAUAACUGUGGACAUUAUCUUGAUGGGGCAUGGUGGCCCACGCUUUUCAACGCAACACUCAGGAGGCAGGUGGAUCAGAAUAGCCAGAGCUACAGAGAGAAACUUUAUCUCAAUAAACAACAGAACAAAAAAUUGUGGACAUUAUCUGAAAUUCAUUGCUGGGCAACUGUUACCGAAACAAUUAUUAACCAAUCCUUAUGCUGGAAUAUACAAUUUAGUUCCAUAAGUCACAAUCUCAAGGAUAUUUUAAUAGUGGGGGAAAUGCUUCUCGUAUCAUUUCAGUGGGAAAUGGAGGAUAUAGAAUUCUAUUUAGGGUAUCCCUUUAUGUGUCUCAACCCCCAUCAGCAAGCAUGUCAGAGUUUUGAGUGUGACUACUUUGAGAGCAGUCAAUGUUUGUAUCUUCCUCCUUAUUUUUUCUAUGUCUCCUUCCCUCCCCCAAACAAUGGAUAUAUUACUUUUCUAUUAUCACAAAUAUAUUCUCAAUUAUUUAAAAUGAGGAUGGGGUAGGGAACGCAAAAGCAUCCUUAAGAAUCUAAUAAAAGCCUUCUUCCUAGUUUUCCUUUGAUUUAAAUGAUUUGGUCUUUUUCAGAUAGAUUCUUACUAUGAGGUAUAGGUUGUCCUGAAUCUAUAUCGCCCAGGCUGUCCCAAAACUCAAGACUCUCCUGCAUCCGCUUCCCAAGUGAUGGAAUUAUAGGUGUGUACCCCAGUAUCCAAGUCUUUGUUUCUUUUCCUUUCUGGUUGAGAUAAGGUCUGGUAUAACCCAGGCUGGUUUCAAACGACCUAUGUAGCUUAGCCUCGAACGGCUGGUCUUCUUGCCUUCAUGUCCCAGUUCUGGGAUUAUGUGUGCACGGCAAGGUCAAUGAGAAGAAAAGAUAGACGAGAGAGUAUGCUCGAUGGUCGGUGAGCCCCAAGAUUCAUCUGCCUUUGCUUCCUUAUGGCUGGGACUGUCUAAAAUAAUCACACCCAGGACUGGAGAGAUGGCUCAGUGGUUACGAAGACUGACUGUCUUUCCGAAGGACCUGGUUUCUGUUCACAGCAUCCACGUGGUGGCUACCAAUUGUCUAUAACUCCAGUUCCAGGGGAUCCAACUCCCUCUUCAGGCUCACACAUACUAUUGUCUGGGAAGCCGGGAAACAAACAAGUAGCCUCUGACUAUAAUACACCACUAUGGAAAUCAGUUUGGCACUUCCUCAGGAAGAUCAGAAUCCAUCUACUUCAAAAUCUAACUAUAGAACUCUUGGGCAUAAACCCAAAGGAUGUUCCACCCUCUCACAGAGACUCUGGAUCAACCAUGUUCUUUGCUGCUCUAUUCCUAAGAGCCAAAACUGGAAACAACCUAGAUAUCCCUUAACCAAAGAAUGAAUAAAGAAAAUGUGGUACAUUUAAACAAUGAA